rnacentral:rRNA from 1 species
AACGAACGCUGGCGGCAUGCCUAAUACAUGCAAGUCGAACGAAGGCUUCGGCCUUAGUGGCGCACGGGUGCGUAACGCGUGGGAAUCUACCCUUGGGUUCGGAAUAACAGUUAGAAAUGACUGCUAAUACCGGAUGAUGACGUAAGUCCAAAGAUUUAUCGCCCAAGGAUGAGCCCGCGUAAGAUUAGCUAGUUGGUGAGGUAAAGGCUCACCAAGGCUACGAUCUUUAGCUGGUCUGAGAGGAUGAUCAGCCACACUGGGACUGAGACACGGCCCAGACUCCUACGGGAGGCAGCAGUAGGGAAUAUUGGACAAUGGGCGAAAGCCUGAUCCAGCAAUGCCGCGUGAGUGAUGAAGGCCUUAGGGUUGUAAAGCUCUUUUACCCGAGAUGAUAAUGACAGUAUCGGGAGAAUAAGCUCCGGCUAACUCCGUG